GGUCUCGUAGCUCAACUGGUAGAGCAUGCGCGUACAAAGCGUAGGCGGUGUCCAUGCGUGGGUUCGAAUCCCACCGAGGCUA
rnacentral:tRNA from 1 species